AUUGAACGCUGGCGGCAGGCUUAACACAUGCAAGUCGAGCGGGGGAGGUUGCUUCGGUAACUGACCUAGCGGCGGACGGGUGAGUAAUGCUUAGGAAUCUGCCUAUUAGUGGGGGACAACAUUCCGAAAGGGAUGCUAAUACCGCAUACGCCCUACGGGGGAUAGCAGGGGAUCUUCGGACCUUGCGCUAAUAGAUGAGCCUAAGUCGGAUUAGCUAGUUGGUGGGGUAAAGGCCUACCAAGGCGACGAUCUGUAGCGGGUCUGAGAGGAUGAUCCGCCACACUGGGACUGAGACACGGCCCAGACUCCUACGGGAGGCAGCAGUGGGGAAUAUUGGACAAUGGGGGGAACCCUGAUCCAGCCAUGCCGCGUGUGUGAAGAAGGCCUUUUGGUUGUAAAGCACUUUAAGCGAGGAGGAGGCUACCGAGAUUAAUACUCUUGGAUAGUGGACGUUACUCGCAGAAUAAGCACCGGCUAACUCUGUGCCAGCAGCCGCGGUAACAC
rnacentral:rRNA from 1 species